CACGGACACAUCUAAAAACUGCAGGACGCCGGCCCCUAAGGCCUGGAGUUGGGGACCCCUGUUGUAGGGUCUUACCAGGGACUACAGAUGACUACAGGCAUAUUUACAUGAUGAAUCACUCUGUACUGCACUACUUACUCUGUUGGGCUGGAUAUUAGCUGCUUCCAUCUUGGCCAGGAAGUCAGUGGGGGAGAAUUUGAACUCAUUCUGCAGGGUCCCAGGGGGUUGGAGUAUUUUCCAGCUGCCAUAGGGCGAGAGGUGCAGGACACCCUGGGCAGUUUCAGGGGCAUUUCCAGUCAGAGGGGCUAAAGGGCUGUUUGCUAUGAGGUGAUUGUCUCCUGUAGGGGGGUCAAGCAUGGUAAAGGUCAUGCAGGUGGGGAGUUGUCAGAUGGCUGUCCACCCCUCACUGGGCCAAGGGGCUCUCGUGCCGCCUGUCAAAGCCUGUGGCGAAGCAGGGAGAAGAAAGGGUGUCUGGAGACGACGUGUGCCAUGCUGUCUUGGCCCCGCCCCUGGCUGCCGUGCCAGCAGUUCUAGGAGACUGACUGUGUAUCGGUGUAUCACCCGCAUCCAUCUCUCUAACCUCCAGCCCUGCCUUCCCUCAUCCCCACGAGAGGGAGCAGCGGAUCAAGAAAAGGGGAAAGAUUCGUGGAAGGAGGGAGGGAGCGAAAGAGAAGUGUUUCUGUGUCCCAAAGGAUUGGUCUCUGUCUGUCUAAAUCAGGAAGUGAGAAUGUGACGGCAGGAGAGACAGAGCAGAGACAUCCUUUCAGUGUGUGUGUGUGUGUGUGUGUGUGUGCACCUUGUUGAGCUGAGGUGUCAUAUAUGUGAAGAUCACAGCUUCACGCUGGUGGCAACCAGGGAUGAUGCUCUAAAUCACUGAAAUGCCAGAGACAACCGUUGUGAUAUGGGCCGUGUCUGUGUGUGUUUGUGCGCGUGAAUGUCUUUUGGGACAUUUGAUGGAGAUUAAUACCACUUUUAGAGUCUGAAAGUGAAAAUGUUAUCAAGUAUGUCACCUUGGAAAAAAAAAAGUGUGUGACAUUGUCUCAUAUAGACACACACACUUGCACAAGGGGUCUAGAUCACCAGUUUUCAGCCUUUUGUGUCUAGUGUAUUUGAAAAGCCUUAUUGAAUUGAAGCACCCCUUCACUGACCAUUCAUGAAACUCUCAUGUUGAAAAUGUGAUCAUUUUAAUUGAUUUUUUUGUUAUUUAACAACCAUAAUAAUUUAAAGCACAAAUAGUAGCCUUGAUUUUUCAAGCAUGCAUCUAUUCAUUUUAAUUCCCAUGAUAUUUAUUUUCAUUACAAACAUUUGUCCAUGCUUUUAUAUGUAAAUGUAAACGAGUAAAAAAAACACUACUAUGUUUAGUUUUUGUUUUAUUUUGGUUAUCUAUAAAUAUUCUCCCCAUCUUACUAAGUUUGGUUGGGAAUCAAAUUAUUCAUAAUGCUCACUAUCCCCAGCAUAUGCACACACACACAAACACACCUAGCAACAUAACAUUCGCUGCCUUCCUUGGAUGAAUAAUUAGAUGGACACGGAGCUGUCUCUCUGUUUUCCCCUCACACAUUAAGCUACAUGAAUGUAGGCCAACUCACUGUCGACUUCACUUGC